rnacentral:rRNA from 1 species
GCAGCGACGCUUAUGCGUUGUUGGGUAGGGGAGCGUUCUGUAAGCCUGUGAAGGUGUGCUGUGAGGCAUGCUGGAGGUAUCAGAAGUGCGAAUGCUGACAUAAGUAACGAUAAAGCGGGUGAAAAGCCCGCUCGCCGAAAGACCAAGGGUUCCUGUCCAACGUUAAUCGGGGCAGGGUGAGUCGACCCCUAAGGCGAGGCCGAAAGGCGUAGUCGAUGGGAAACAGGUUAAUAUUCCUGUACUUGGUGUUACUGCGAAGGGGGGACGGAGAAGGCUAUGUUGGCCGGGCGACGGUUGUCCCGGUUUAAGCGUGUAGGCUGGUUUUCCAGGCAAAUCCGGAAAAUCAAGGCUGAGGCGUGAUGACGAGGCACUACGGUGCUGAAGCAACAAAUGCCCUGCUUCCAGGAAAAGCCUCUAAGCAUCAGGUAACAUCAAAUCGUACCCCAAACCGACACAGGUGGUCAGGUAGAGAAUACCAAGGCGCUUGAGAGAACUCGGGUGAAGGAACUAGGCAAAAUGGUGCCGUAACUUCGGGAGAAGGCACGCUGAUAUGUAGGUGAAGUCCCUCGCGGAUGGAGCUGAAAUCAGUCGAAGAUACCAGCUGGCUGCAACUGUUUAUUAAAAACACAGCACUGUGCAAACACGAAAGUGGACGUAUACGGUGUGACGCCUGCCCGGUGCCGGAAGGUUAAUUGAUGGGGUCAGCGCAAGCGAAGCUCUUGAUCGAAGCCCCGGUAAACGGCGGCCGUAACUAUAACGGUCCUAAGGUAGCGAAAUUCCUUGUCGGGUAAGUUCCGACCUGCACGAAUGGCGUAAUGAUGGCCAGGCUGUCUCCACCCGAGACUCAGUGAAAUUGAACUCGCUGUGAAGAUGCAGUGUACCCGCGGCAAGACGGAAAGACCCCGUGAACCUUUACUAUAGCUUGACACUGAACAUUGAGCCUUGAUGUGUAGGAUAGGUGGGAGGCUUGAAGUGUGGACGCCAGUCUGCAUGGAGCCGACCUUGAAAUACCACCCUUUAAUGUUUGAUGUUCUAACGUUGACCCGUGAUCCGGGUUGCGGACAGUGUCUGGUGGGUAGUUUGACUGGGGCGGUCUCCUCCUAAAGAGUAACGGAGGAGCACGAAGGUUGGCUAAUCCUGGUCGGACAUCAGGAGGUUAGUGCAAUGGCAUAAGCCAGCUUGACUGCGAGCGUGACGGCGCGAGCAGGUGCGAAAGCAGGUCAUAGUGAUCCGGUGGUUCUGAAUGGAAGGGCCAUCGCUCAACGGAUAAAAGGUACUCCGGGGAUAACAGGCUGAUACCGCCCAAGAGUUCAUAUCGACGGCGGUGUUUGGCACCUCGAUGUCGGCUCAUCACAUCCUGGGGCUGAAGUAGGUCCCAAGGGUAUGGCUGUUCGCCAUUUAAAGUGGUACGCGAGCUGGGUUUAGAACGUCGUGAGACAGUUCGGUCCCUAUCUGCCGUGGGCGCUGGAGAACUGAGGGGGGCUGCUCCUAGUACGAGAGGACCGGAGUGGACGCAUCACUGGUGUUCGGGUUGUCAUGCCAAUGGCACUGCCCGGUAGCUAAAUGCGGAAGAGAUAAGUGCUGAAAGCAUCUAAGCACGAAACUUGCCCCGAGAUGAGUUCUCCCUGACUCCUUGAGGGUCCUGAAGGAACGUUGAAGACGACGACGUUGAUAGGCCGGGUGUGUAAGCGCAGCGAUGCGUUGAGCUAACCGGUACUAAUGAACCGUGAGGCUUAACCUU